GUGCUCGCUUCUGCAACACACUAUUCUAAAAUUUGAACAAUACAGAGAAGAAUAGCAAGGCCCCUGUGUAACGAUGACACCCAAAUUCAUGAAGCAUUCCAUAUUUUU